UUUCAGCAGAGAGUGUAGUAAAAGUUCAAGUGUGUAAAUUAAAAUCUUUCAAUGAGACCGAGAGUAUAGAUUUUGCAGUAAAGUAACGAUUGCAGAGAAAUGAAAGAAAAUGUUGGGAUCAAUUGAUUUUUUUAAAAUCUUCAUUCAGAAUUGUUACUGGAGUUACUACUUACAAUAGCCUAGCUUUACAACAUAUUUUCUAAUUCUCUGUCCAUCUUGUAUCUGGCAGGAGAAUGAGAAUGAGGAAACUGCAAGAACCUGUGCCAUACUUACCAUAUCCAAAGUGUCAAAGACUUAAUUUACUGAAAAACUCUGAAACUGCAUGAAUAUGUAGGCUACUUAUCAGAUCCUACAUGAACAUCAAUAUCCUUUUGGAAUAGUUUACUGGUUUAGAAACUCGGAAAUCAUCGGCUACCUGCAUCCUCUCUGCUGCUCCGCAAGUUUUAGAUCGCAAUUUUUCGUGAACUACCAGUUUGACCUAAAAUGCAAAACUGCAGUUGAUGAACGAUCAUAAAGCAACAAAUCCUAUCUGAAACAUGACGAAGACAUUGCUAGAGAUGACUUCUGGUUUCACUUUGGUGAUGGAAACCGACUGGAGAAAGAUAUUCAAGAGACAACUCUUCAACUGCGGCUGGCUUCUUGGUUUCUACUACUUGUUCAACGACGGGUUCCGCUUCUGGAAGUAUGACUACUUGUUCGAUGACCUUAGGUUUCACAGGAACGACGGCGAUUUCUUCGAUGACCUCUGGUUUCACUUCAACGAUGGUAACGACUUCUACAACUGGAGCGACUGCAGGUGCGGUGGGAGUCAGAAGUGGUGGAAGAUCUUCAAUCGAUGCGAUGGUGGUACAGCAUAGGCGACUGAGGCUGGGGCAGCGUAGGCAAUUGGAGCUGGAGCGGGAAAAUCGUAAGUGUUUUGGGGUUGAACAGCACCCUGGACGGGCGAGUUGACCAAGUUAGUCGGUGCGGCCGAUACGGUGGCAACCAAAUGAGUGACCAAAAUCUGCCAAAAGGAAAUCAAAUGGCACGAGUCUUUUUAAAUUAAAACAAUAUUUUUAAGAGCGCCCAUCAAUUUUAAGUAUUAAAGUUGAAGAUGUUUGUAUCGAAGUUGUUGUCUCUUACCAAAGGAUUCAUUUUCGACUUGAGACUGAAUCGAGAACUUGUCGGGAACUGACGAUUAAACUAAUAGGAGUUGCGAUUCAUUUUUAUGUCACAUACGGCAAUUUUUAUAUACCGGUACUUUUUAUUGAACUGAGUAUUAGUAGUCAAUUAUACAACAUUAAGUUGUUGCCCCGUGCACAAGUGCCACGUAAAUUGUAACGAGAACACAGAUGUUGGUUACC